GCGGAGGAAAAGAAACCAACAGGGAUUGCCUUAGUAACGGCGAGUGAAGCGGCAACAGCUCAAAUUUGAAAGCUGGCCCUCUCAGGGUCCGCGUUGUAAUUUGUAGAGGAUGAUUCGGCGAGGGCUCCCGCCUAAGUCCCCUGGAACGGGGCGUCAUAGAGGGUGAGAAUCCCGUAUGCGGUGGGCUGCCUUAGCCAUGUGAAUCUCCUUCGACGAGUCGAGUUGUUUGGGAAUGCAGCUCUAAAUUGGAGGUAAAUUUCUUCUAAAGCUAAAUACUGGCCAGAGACCGAUAGCGCACAAGUAGAGUGAUCGAAAGAUGAAAAGCACUUUGGAAAGAGAGUUAAAAAGCACGUGAAAUUGUUGAAAGGGAAGCGCUUGCAACCAGACUUGUCCGCAGUUGCUCAGCCGGUCUCCUGACCGGCGUACUCUUCUGCGGCCAGGCCAGCAUCAGUUCGGGCGGUCGGAUAAAGACCUCGGGAAUGUGGCUCCUCUCGGGGAGUGUUAUAGCCCGGGGUGGAAUGCGGCCAGCCUGGACUGAGGAACUCGCUUCGGCAAGGAUGCUGGCGUAAUGGUUGUAAGCGGCCCGUCUUGAAACACGGACCAAGGAGUCUAACAUCUAUGCGAGUGUUUGGGUGUCAAACCCAUACGCGUAAUGAAAGUGAACGGAGGUGGGAACCCGCAAGGGCGCACCAUCGGCCGAUCCUGAUGUCUUCGGAUGGAUUUGAGCAAGAGCAUAGCUGUUGGGACCCGAAAGAUGGUGAACUAUGCCUGAAUAGGGUGAAGCCAGAGGAAACUCUGGUGGAGGCUCGCAGCGGUUCUGACGUGCAAAUCGAUCGUCAAAUUUGGGUAUAGGGGCGAAAGACUAAUCGAACCAUCUAGUAGCUGGUUCCUGCC
rnacentral:rRNA from 1 species